rnacentral:rRNA from 1 species
UACGUAGGGGGCAAGCGUUGUCCGGAAUCAUUGGGCGUAAAGAGCGUGUAGGCGGCCCGAUAAGUCCGCUGUGAAAGUCCAGGGCUCAACCCUGGAAUGCCGGUGGAUACUGUCGGGCUCGAAUCCGGAAGAGGUGAGUGGAAUUCCUGGUGUAGCGGUGAAAUGCGCAGAUAUCAGGAGGAACACCAAUGGCGAAGGCAGCUCACUGGGACGGUAUUGACGCUGAGACGCGAAAGCGUGGGGAGCAAAC